AGAGAAACCUCCAACAGAGCUAAGAGACAACCUACAAUCUGAUUCCUGCCUUCCCCCAACAACAGUAGAAAAGACAAGACUUGAAAAAUGACCCAAAGUGAACAAAUAUAAUGAUGACUGCAAGGAUACUGGAAUAAAAUUUGAAGUUCAAGAGAUUGAAGAAGAUAUAUGCCAGGUUGAACACAUGACCUGAAUGAGUGUACACAGGAGAACUGGCAUAGCCAAGGUGCAGACGCAGGGCUCCUCCUUCUUCCUCUGACUACCAUGAAACUCUGGGGAGGUCCAGACCUACAGAAGGUGAUAGGAAAUCUGAAACUGUGAACCACCCAGGACUGACCGAGCCCAGCUCUGGCUGGCUGGCUACACCUACUCAGGACCAAGAGCUGCUACCUGGUUCCACACUACAGAGGCACAGGGGGACAUAAAGGCCAUUGUCCUGAGCUGCAGAAGUGAACAAGAGUGAGAGAGGGCCUCUCUCAGGCUCCCUGAUGAUAACUGAAGCCCCCUGGAAAAGUGAAGAGAAUCUCUGCAAUAAAGGCACACCAGACCACCAUACUUGAGCAUUGGAAGAAAAAUAUAAAACCCUAUGAGACCUACAAAGAAGAAAACCUGAACCUCAGAGAAAAUGAAAGGUACAUCUGUCAAUUGCAAUGGAACCUUAACUGAUACAGGUGUUCUUGGUGCAGUAAGUAGUAAAUAAUAAAUAAUUUGAGAUUUCCUGUUCCAUUUG
rnacentral:lncRNA from 1 species